GGUCACUGCUAUUGGGAUUCGGCUAAGCCAUGCAAGCGGAGGGCGCGGUCGAAAGAUCGUGGCCCCGCACACUGCUCAGUAACACGUAGUCAACCUACCCUUGGGACAGGGACAACCUCGGGAAACUGAGGCUAAUCCCCGAUAGGUGAGGGACGCUGGAAUGCCUCCUCGCCCAAAGCUCCGGCGCCCAGGGAUGGGACUGCGGUCUAUCAGGCUGUUGGUGGUGUAACGGACCACCAAACCUACGACGGGUACGGGCGAUGGGAGUCGGAGCCCGGAGAUGGGGACUGAGACAAGGCCCCAGGCCCUACGGGGCGCAGCAGGCGCGAAAACUCCGCAAUGCGCGCAAGCGUGACGGGGGAAUCCCAAGUGCCGUUGGUCUUAUGAUCGACGGUUUUUAGGAAGUCUAAGAAGCUUCCAGAAUAAGGGCUGGGCAAGACUGGUGCCAGCCGCCGCGGUAACACCAGCAGCCCAAGUGGUGACCACGAUUAUUGGGCCUAAAGCGCUCGUAGCCGGAUCAGCAAGUCCCUUGUGAAAUCGGGCCGCCCAACGGUUCGGCGUGCAAGGGAUACUGUUGGUCUUGAGGCCGGGAGAGGUCGGAGGUACUCCUGGGGUAGCGGUGAAAUGCUCUAAUCCUAGGGGGACCACCAGUGGCGAAGGCGUCCGACCAGAACGGACCUGACGGUGAGGGGCGAAGGCUAGGGGAGCGAACGGGAUUAGAUACCCCGGUAGUCCUAGCUGUAAAGCAUGCGGGCCAGGUGUCUAGCGCUCCUUGAGGGCGCUAGGUGCCGGAGGGAAGCCGUUAAGCCCGCCGCCUGGGAAGUACGGCCGCAAGGCUGAAACUUAAAGAAAUUGGCGGGGGAGCACCACAAGAGGUGGGACCUGCGGUUC
rnacentral:rRNA from 1 species